rnacentral:rRNA from 1 species
UGGCAGACGGGUGAGUAACACGUGGGAACGUACCCUUUGGUUCGGAAUAACGCAGGGAAACUUGCGCUAAUACCGGAUACGCCCUUUUGGGGAAAGGUUUACUGCCGAAGGAUCGGCCCGCGUCUGAUUAGCUAGUUGGUGGGGUAACGGCCUACCAAGGCGACGAUCAGUAGCUGGUCUGAGAGGAUGAUCAGCCACACUGGGACUGAGACACGGCCCAG